rnacentral:rRNA from 1 species
GACGAACGCUGGCGGCGCGCCUAAUACAUGCAAGUCGAACGGGUCUCCUUCGGGAGGUCAGUGGCGGACGGGUGAGUAACACGUGGGUGACCUGCCCCGAAGUGGGGAAGUAACGCUGCGAAAGCAGCGCUAACACCGCAUAUGCUUAACGGUCCAAUCUGUUAAGCAAAGCAGCAAUGCGCUUUGGGAGGGGCCGUGCGGCAGAUUAGCUAGUCGGUGGGGUAAUGGCCUACCGAGGCGACGAUCUGUAGCUGGUCUGAGAGGAUGACCAGCCACACUGGGACUGAGACACGGCCCAGACUCCUACGGGAGGCAGCAGUAAGGAAUAUUCCACAAUGGGGGAAACCCUGAUGGAGCGACGCCGCGUGCGCGAAGAAG